rnacentral:misc_RNA from 1 species
UAAUAAGUGUUUUAUGGCACUUUUUAAAUCCAUAUCCACCUUGUGUGCAAUGUCGGUCGAUCUUCUUUUUUUGAGGAUCGACCAAACAUCAACCUUUACUUUUAACUCUUUGUCUGAAAAAUAUUAUGAAUAAACAAUUCAAAAUA